rnacentral:rRNA from 1 species
CGCGUAGGCGGCUAUAUAAGUCUGAUGUGAAAGUGCGGAGCUUAACUCCGUAAAGCAUUGGAAACUGUAUGGCUUGAGGACAGGAGAGGAAAGUGGAAUUCCACGUGUAGCGGUGAAAUGCGUAGAUAUGUGGAGGAACACCAGUGGCGAAGGCGACUUUCUGGACUGUAACUGACGCUGAGGCGCGAAAGCGUGGGGAUCAAACAGGAUUAGAUACCCUGGUAGUCCACGCCGUAAACGAUGAAUGCUAGGUGUAGAGGGUAUCGACCCCUUCUGUGCCGCAGUUAACACAAUAAGCAUUCCGCCUGGGGAGUACGGCCGCAAGGUUGAA